CAGCACCUCAAGUGGUCAGGAUGAUUAUUGGGCCUAAAGCAUCCGUAGCCGGCGCUGUAAGUUUUCGGUUAAAUCUGUACGCUCAACGUACAGGCUGCCGGGAAUACUGCAGCGCUAGGGAGUGGGAGAGGUAGACGGUACUCGGUAGGAAGGGGUAAAAUCCUUUGAUCUAUUGAUGACCACCUGUGGCGAAGGCGGUCUACCAGAACACGUCCGACGGUGAGGGAUGAAAGUUGGGGGAGCAAACCGGAUUAGAUACCCGAGUAGUCC
rnacentral:rRNA from 1 species